AGCAGUAGGGAAUCUUCCACAAUGGACGCAAGUCUGAUGGAGCAACGCCGCGUGAGUGAAGAAGGUUUUCGGAUCGUAAAGCUCUGUUGUUGGUGAAGAAGGAUAGAGGCAGUAACUGGUCUUUAUUUGACGGUAAUCAACCAGAAAGUCACGGCUAACUACGUGCCAGCAGCCGCGGUAAUACGUAGGUGGCAAGCGUUGUCCGGAUUUAUUGGGCGUAAAGCGAGCGCAGGCGGAAUGAUAAGUCUGAUGUGAAAGCCCACGGCUCAACCGUGGAACUGCAUCGGAAACUGUCANUCUUGAGGCANAGG
rnacentral:rRNA from 1 species